UACGUAGGGGGCAAGCGUUGUCCGGAUUUAUUGGGCGUAAAGAGCGUGUAGGCGGCCAAACAGGUCCACUGUGAAAACUCGAGGCUCAACCUCGAGAGGUCGGUGGAAACCGUCUGGCUAGAGUCCGGAAGAGGAGAGUGGAAUUCCCGGUGUAGGCGGUGAAAUGCGCAGAUAUCGGGAAGAACACCCGUGGCGAAGGCGGCUCUCUGGGACGGUACUGACGCUGAGACGCGAAAGCGUGGGAGCGAACGAGG
rnacentral:rRNA from 1 species